CUCAUUUAUCUGGACUGUCAACUUACGAUUGCUUUUUCCUCUACAGAAAAGCAGAAACUCCAGAUUUCUUCCAGUCAUUACUAGGAUUUUAUCCCAGAGUCACAAAAAUACCUAAUACUUCCCUAAGAUGGCAUCCAUUGACCUGAAUUCAUUUACUCAGGAGACUGUGUUAAGUAUUCAUAACAUCUGCUAUCGAGUAAAAGAGAAGUAUGGCUUUAUAUUUUGCUGGAAAACAUUUGAGAGAGAAAUAUUUACAAAUAUCAGUGGGGUCAUGAAACCUGGCCUUAAUGCUAUCAUGGAAUGCACAGGUGGAGGCAAAUCUUUAUUUCUGGAUGUCUUAGCUGCAAGGAAUGAUCCAAAUGGAUUAUCUGGAGAUAUUUUGAUCAAUGGAGCCCCUCGACCUGCCAAUUUCAAAUAUAAUUCAGGUUUUGUGGUUCAAGUAAGUAUUGCAAGUCUGCCUUCUAGGUUUUCCCUACUUCUAUGUGGGAAGUGCUUUGACUUAUGAUUUUGUGUGCAACCAGUUGGAUUUACAUGUUCAAGGAACGGAAUUUAUUUA
rnacentral:lncRNA from 1 species